AUUGAACGCUGGCGGCAUGCUUUACACAUGCAAGUCGAACGGUAACAGGCCUUCGGGUGCUGACGAGUGGCGAACGGGUGAGUAAUGCAUCGGAACGUACCCAGAGGUGGGGGAUAACGCAGCGAAAGCUGUGCUAAUACCGCAUGUGAUCUGAGGAUGAAAGCGGGGGACCGAGCAGCAAUGUUUGGCCUCGCGCCUUUGGAGCGGCCGAUGUCGGAUUAGCUAGUUGGUGGGGUAAAGGCCUACCAAGGCGACGAUCCGUAGCUGGUCUGAGAGGACGACCAGCCACACUGGGACUGAGACACGGCCCAGACUCCUACGGGAGGCAGCAGUGGGGAAUUUUGGACAAUGGGCGCAAGCCUGAUCCAGCAAUGCCGCGUGCGGGAAGAAGGCCUUCGGGUUGUAAAACGCUUUUGGCAGGAACGAAACGGUGUCCGCUAAUACCGGGCGCUAAUGACGGUACCUGCAGAAUAAGCACCGGCUAACUACGUG
rnacentral:rRNA from 1 species